CAGCCGUAAACAAUGUGCGUUAGGUGUGUCGGUAACCACGUGUUACUGAUGCGCCGAAGAGAAAUCGUGAAACGCACCACCUGGGAAGUACGGUCGCAAGGCUGAAACUUAAGGGAAUUGGCGGGGGAGCACCACAACAGGUGGAGCCUGCGGUUUAAUUGGAUUCAACGCCGGACAUCUCACCGGAUAAGACAGCUGAAUGAUUGCCGGGCUGAAGACCCUGCAUGACUAGCUGAGAGGAGGUGCAUGGCGUCAGUGACU
rnacentral:rRNA from 1 species